rnacentral:rRNA from 1 species
GUYUUUUUGUUAAAAAUUUAAAGUCGGGCCUGCCCCCUGAAAAUUUAAAUGGCCGUGGUAUCUUGACCGUGCUAAGGUAGCAUAGUCMUUAGUUUUUUAAUUGGAAGCUGGAAUGAAGGGUUUGAUAAAAAAAUGACUGUCUCUAUUUAAUUUUAUUAAAAUUUUAUUUUUAAGUUCAAAAGCUUAAAUUUAAUUAAAAGACGAGAAGACCCUAUAGAGUUUAAUAAUAUAAUAUAAUUUUUAUUUUAGAAUUAAAUUAUUUAUUUUUUUAUAUUAUUUAAUUGGGGUGAUUGAAAAAUUUAAUUAACUUUUUUUUAAUUUUACCAUUAAUUUAUGAUUAUUUGAUCCAAUUUUUAUUGAUUAUAAGAUAAAAUUACCUUAGGGAUAACAGCGUAAUUUUUUUAAAAAGUUCAAAUUAAAAAAAAARAUUGCGACCUCGAUGUUGGAUUAAAAUUAAAUUUUGGNGUAGAAGCUAAAAAUUUAAGUCUGUUCRACUUUUAAAAUUUUACA